CGGCGAGUGAAGCGGGAACAGCUCAAAUUUGAAAUCUGGCCCUCGGGUCCGAGUUGUAAUUUGUAGAGGAUGCUUUUGGUGCGGUGCCUUCCGAGUUCCCUGGAACGGGACGCCUUAGAGGGUGAGAGCCCCGUACGGUUGGACGCCUAGCCUCUGUAAAGCUCCUUCGACGAGUCGAGUAGUUUGGGAAUGCUGCUCUAAAUGGGAGGUAUAUUUCUUCUAAAGCUAAAUACUGGCCAGAGACCGAUAGCGCACAAGUAGAGUGAUCGAAAGAUGAAAAGCACUUUGAAAAGAGGGUUAAAUAGCACGUGAAAUUGUUGAAAGGGAAGCGUUUAUCACCAGACUUUUUCUAGGGGGAUCAUCCGGCGUUCUCGCCGGUGCACUUCCCCUAGUUGAGGCCAGCAUCGGUUUUCGGAGGGGGAUAAAAGCUUCGGGAAUGUGACUCCCUCGGGAGUGUUAUAGCCCGUUGCAUAAUACCCUUCUGGGGACCGAGGUUCGCGCAUCUGCAAGGAUGCUGGCAUAAUGGUGAUCAACGACCCGUCUUGAAACACGGACCAAGGAGUCGAACAUUUAUGCGAGUGUUUGGGUGUCAAACCCUCACGCGUAAUGAAAGUGAACGGAGGUGAGAGCCCUUACGGGUGCAUCAUCGACCGAUCCUGAUGUCUUCGGAUGGAUUUGAGUAAGAGCAUA
rnacentral:rRNA from 1 species